GCCGGUAAUAAACCGGAGGAAGUGGGGAUGACGUCAAGUCCUCAUGGCCCUUAUGGGUAGGGCUUCACACGUCAUACAAUGGUCGGUACAGAGGGUUGCCAAGCCGCGAGGCGGAGCCAAUCCCACAAAGCCGAUCGUAGUCCGGAUUGUUCUCUGCAACUCGAGAGCAUGAAGUCGGAAUCGCUAGUAAUCGCAGGUCAGCAUACUGCGGUGAAUACGUUCCCGGGUCUU
rnacentral:rRNA from 1 species